UUAAUUGAUUUACUUGUGACUCCGACGCAAAGACGCUGAGUUUGACGGUCCACUGGGGGCCCCGGCACGGAGGCCGGGUCGCCCCCAAGGCAACAGAGAUUGUAACGACAAAGGGUGGGAGGUCGAGCCCGGGGGCCCUCACUCGGUAAUGAUCCCUCCGCAGGUUCACCUACGGAGA
rnacentral:misc_RNA from 1 species